GAGCGCGGCGCGGGUGGUCACCUCCGCUGCUGCCGCCACCCGCCCGGCCUGCCUUUGACCCUAUGGGUCACAGACAAGGCAGGGUGAUCGCGGCAAGACCCUGAGUGAGACUAGAUGCGUUACCCAGAGGGUGCGAGGUCGAGUACCUUCCCUGUCCCAUCGCAAACCCAAAGAUCCCCGUUCCUGGAGAUUCUGAUUGAGGUCCCAGCCCUACCUGUCCUGAUGCCUGACCAGCAGGAUGCAAGCCCAGGAGGCCAUCCAGGAUACCAGGACUGGGAGAGAAUGCCCAGUGGUGAUUCCUGCAUAGUCCUAGGAGGUGUCUUGGGCCCAGGCUCUGGAGUUGGAGGCUCAGUUUCAGCUGCGGCUUUAGGAAGGAAUCUGCGUUUAUGAAGGGGAUGGCACCGCAGAAUCAUUCCCCCGUGGGUGGCAUCGAUUUCGAGGGCCGCCUCAUCCUGGGGGCCAAGCCUCCACUCUUCAAGGUGCCAAGUCAACCUGAAACCCUGGGAGAGACUUGGGUCAUAGCCAAGAUGGCAGGUACCUACGGAGGGUCCCGAAAUACACUUCCCAGAAGUCCAGGCGGCAACUUCCGCUCCAGGGUGCCAAGCCCUGGGCGCUCCCGCAAGGACUGCCCGGAUUCGUUCCCCGCGCUUCCGGUCUCACUGGGGAGCCGGAAUCCCCGAGUCUGCAGCCACCGCCCCCGUCCACACGAUAGCCCUCCCGGUUAAGAGGACCCCGCCCUCACCUCUGCGCUCAGCGGGCCGCUCCGCGCUCCUGAGCACGCGCAGUCUUCGACUUCCCCCUC
rnacentral:lncRNA from 1 species